CUCGUAGGCGGCCAACUAAGUCAGACGUGAAAUCCCUCGGCUUAACCGGGGAACUGCGUCUGAUACUGGAUGGCUUGAGAUUGGGAGAGGGAUGCGGAAUUCCAGGUGUAGCGGUGAAAUGCGUAGAUAUCUGGAGGAACACCGGUGGCGAAGGCGGCAUCCUGGACCAACACUGACGCUGAGGAGCGAAAGCCAGGGGAGCAAACG
rnacentral:rRNA from 1 species